GGCUUCAUGGUGCAACAGUAGUGCCUCUGACUCCAGAUCAGAAGGUUGUGUGUUCAAAUCAUGUCGGGGUCA
rnacentral:tRNA from 1 species